rnacentral:snRNA from 1 species
ACUGGCUAAGAAAUGUCUGUCUUUCCUAAAAGUGGAACAAUGCAGAGAAGAUUAGCAUGACCCCCUGUUCUAACGAUGGCACGCAAAAUCCUGCAAUGUAAUAAAAUUUA